UUCUGUGCAUUGCUGCAUCCACCACAAGAGAGUUGAGUUGUGGGUGGGAAAAUAAUGCAUCUACAUCCUUAGCAGUGACCAGGGAAGAGGUUCAGCACUGCCCUGAGUCCCAUCUUCGGCCGAGGAUGGUUGAGAAGGAACUGGGGGGGGGGUGUGCUGGACGCACCCUAAUGACAGACAGACUCUAAUGAUGCCACAAGACAACAGCUGGGCGCGUGUGUCCUGACCAGGCACUGCUACCAAAGAUCUCCAUUCAACAGUGCCGUCACCUGGAGUGGAACACCCACAGGGACAGCACUUGAAGAAGAACUAAUCUUAUGCCUGGUCUACACUGGGGGAGGGGAUCAACCUCAGAUACACAACUUCAGCUAUGAGAAUAGUGUAGCUGAAGUCGACAUAUCUUAGUUCAACUUACCUUGUGUCCUCAAGGUGUGGGGUCAAUUGCCACGGCUCCCCGUCGACUUUGCUUCUACCUCUUGCCAAGCUGGAGUUCAGCAGUCGAUGGGAGAACGAUCGGGAACGAUCUAUUGCGUCUACACUAUACGCAAUAAAUCGAUCCCCAAUAGAUCGAUCGCUACCCACUGAUCUGGCAGGUAGUGUAGAUGUACCCUUAGUGAACAAUUUUUUUGGUUGAAUUUAGUCCAUUAUUUUCUAUUUAUCAGUUUUCUAUCAACAUUUUUUCAUUGUUCAACAUUUUUCAAUACAUUUUAUGAGUGUCUUUCAUCCAAUUAAUUUAAGUUUUCAUAUGCUUGGUUUGAAAUGUGAGCUGUUUUAAUUGUGCACAAAGGUCACAUAGCAUAUUUCUAUUUCCUGCAGGAAUGAAUAAGAAAACUGACAAUUAUAAAUAUAAUAUUUUCCUUCCAGAACUAGAGUCUGCAAUAAUCAAAAAUUCACUGUUCCACCAAAUAUUUCUGCUAAUUAACUUCUUCACUAGAAUAUUCACAGAAAGCAAACAAAAGGGGCAAAUUGAAGAAAUUACACAAAUAUUUACAAAUAAUCUCUGCACUUUUCAUACAGUUCAGUAAUGGAUAAACAUACAGCACCCCCUUGCUGAUUGACAUGACUUUUUGCUGAGGUUUGCAAAGUAAGAAAACUGUUUUGGAAUUACAUCUGAGACUGAUUUGAAGAAUUUAGGUGGGAAGGCUAUGACAGGUGCAGAGUUGGCUGUGGUAGUGAUCCAAGCCAUGGAAGAGAGAGAAUGAAAAUGAUGAGAUGUGGAAGCUGCGGGAUGUACAUGACUCUAGAACAGAUACCUGAAAAGAGCUUAAUUUGUGUGAAAUGUCGCUUGAUAGAGCUGAUGGAAGAGACGAUCCGAGGCUUGGAGAUGCAGGUGGAAACUAUGGCUGAAGGUUUUGAAGGAGCUUUGAGCAGAUGAUGGAGCAAAGGCAAGAGGAGGCUAAAGGGAAAAAACCCAAACACUAAAACAAAUCCGGAACCAUCCACUCCACCCUCAAACUCCCCUUACAAACAUGCCUAUUUACUGCUCCUAUGCUGCUGUACCUGGGCCACUGGCUAACAGUUUGGCUGCCUUUCUAGGCCCCUUAAUCAGGGUUCUGCUUCUCUCAAAACUCACUCACUGCCUCUAAGGAGCAGGGACUUGUUCCUCCCUUCUCCUCCAACAGGACUCCCACUCCAUCUCCCCUGUUUACAGCUCUGUUUGCUGAUUCUGUGCCAC